rnacentral:rRNA from 1 species
GAUGAACGCGGGGCGUGCUUAACACAUGCAAGUCGAGCGAGAAGUUUUGAAAAGAUUCUUGGAUGAAAUUUAAAAUGGAAAGCGGCGGACGGGUGAGUAACGCGUAGGCAACCUGCCCCAUACAAAGGGAUAGCAUUGGAAACGAAUAUUAAUACCUUAUGAAACUUAACUAGUGCAUGCUAGGUAGGUCAAAGAUUAUCGGUAUGGGAUGGGCCUGCGUCUGAUAGCUAGUUGGUGAGGUAACGGCUCACCAAGGCGACGAUCAGUAGCCGACCUGAGAGGGUGAACGGCCACAUGGAACUGAGACACGGUCCAAACUCCUACGGGAGGCAGCAGUGGGGAAUAUUGCACAAUGGGGGAAACCCUGAUGCAGCAACGCCGCGUGAACGAUGAAGGCCUUUGGGUCGUAAAGUUCUGUUCUAGGUGAUGAAAACUGACAAACCUAGGAGAAAGCC